rnacentral:rRNA from 1 species
AUUGAACGCUGGCGGCAGGCCUAACACAUGCAAGUCGAACGAGUGGCGGACGGGUGAGUAAGGUCUGGGACACUGCCUGAUGGAGGGGGUUAAGUACUGGAAACGGUAGCUACUACCGCAUACCAUCAGAUGUGCCCAGGUGGGAUUAGCUAGGUGGGGGGGUAACGGCUCACCAAGGCGACGAUCCCUAGCGGGUCUGAGAGGAUGAUCAGCCACACUGGAACUGAGACACGGUCCAGACGCCUACGGGAGGCAGCAGGGGGGAAGAUUGGACAAUGGGCGCAAGCCUGAUCCAGCCAUGCCGCGUGUGUGAAGAAGGCCUUCGGGUUGUAAAGUACUUUCAGCGGGGAGGCGUUACCCGCAGAAGAAGCACCGGCUAACUCCGUGCCAGCAGCCGCGGUAAUAC